rnacentral:rRNA from 1 species
AGGACGAACGCUGGCGGCGUGCUUAACACAUGCAAGUCGAGCGGAAAGGCCUUUCGGGGUACUCGAGCGGCGAACGGGUGAGUAACACGUGAGUAAUCUGCCCAUCGCUUCAGGAUAGCCAUCGGAAACGGUGAUUAAUACUGGAUAUGACAUUCCUUCGCAUGUUGGGGUGUGGAAAGUUUUUUCGGCGGUGGAUGUGCUCGCGGCCUAUCAGCUUGUUGGUGGGGUAAUGGCCUACCAAGGCUUUGACGGGUAGCCGGCCUGAGAGGGUGACCGGCCGCACUGGGACUGAGACACGGCCCAGACUCCUACGGGAGGCAGCAGUGGGGAAUAUUGGACAAUGGGCGCAAGCCUGAUCCAGCAAUGCCGCGUGUGUGAAGAAGGCCUUCGGGUUGUAAAGCACUUUAAGUUAGGAAGAAAAACUACGACUCUAACACAGUGAGUCUUGACGGUACCGACAGAAUAAGCACCGGACUAACUCUGUGCCAGCAGCCGCGGUAAU